CAUUCUCCCUUUUAUUUCAUUUCACCUUUUACUUUUUACAGCAUACAACGAAUUCCAAACCGCGCUUAUUUUUUUUACAGCAAACGACGAAAUCCACGAAAACGAAAACUUCAUCGAUCGAUGAUGGCAGGAAAACUCAGGGUUUUCUUGUUCCUUCUCGCAGUCGCACUUUCACUGACUUCACACUCAUCAUCCCACAACUUUACUCUCGACGACGACCCGAUUGAUUCUGAUGUUUUGGGGGCGAUAUUAGUAUCGCGAAUUUUCUUGAUUUUUUCUUACCUUUUUGUUUUUUUCUUCGAACAGGGAGUUGAAGACUUACUUCAUGGAUCGAUGAUGGCAGGAAAAUUCAUAGUUUUCUUGUUCCUCGCACUUGCACCGACUUCACACUUACAAUUCCACAACUUUAGCGUCGACGUUACUAUUGAUUCUGGUGUUCUUGGGGCGAUAUUAGUAUUGCCAAUUUUCUUGAUUUUUUCUUACCUUUUUGUUUUUUUCUUUGAACAGGGAGUUGAAGACUUACUUUAUGGAUCGAUAAUGGCAGGAAAAUUCAUAAUUUUCUUGUUCCUUCUCACAGUCGCACUUGCACCGACUUCACACUCAUCAUUCGACAACUUUAGUGUCGACGUUACUAUUGAUUCUGGUGUUCUUGGGGCGAUAUUAGUAUUGCGAAUUUUCUUGAUUUUUUCUUACUUUUUUGUUUUUUUCUUUGAACAGGGAGUUGAAGAUUUGUAUGACGAGGAGGAUUAUUCUUUACCAACAACACAUCAGCAAAUUGCUGUGCUCUCUAGCGAGGUUGAUAUUCAGGAUGAAAAUGCUGGUGGUGAUUUUACAAGUGUCUCCCUUACUUCAAGUUCAUGUUUAUCCAAACAAGGAGACAAGGAUUUUGCUACGUGGCCACAUAGGAAUGUUGAAGACCACAUAGGAAUCGACUGCAAAUCUGCUAGAGGUUCAAGUCAACAAACUAGUGGGUCCUUAGAACUGGGCAUCUCUGCUUCUUACAAUCCAAAAGUUGGAUCAGAUGCAGUCUUUGAAGUAAAUUCUGUAAAGAAGUUGGAUCCUAGGGAAUCAGAUGCUUUAGCCUUAAACCAAUCUUCUGAGUGCUGUAUUCUUGUUAAACCUAAGCAACUGAAGUUUGAUGAAAUGGAUGGAUGCAAUUCAAAUAAAGGUAGCAGUCUGCUUUCCAGGAUUAGAGAACUGUUGGGCAAUCCCUCAAUGGAUAUGGAUUCUGCUUCAUUAAAAGAUGAUAAAUCCAGUGAGCAGCAGUUGAAGUCUGCAAUGAUACGUUCUCAUGAGGAUUUUGAUGCGUGUACAAGUACAGAGACAAUGAAUAUCGAUUUGGACUUGGAUCUGAAUCCAUUGGUGGAGGAGAGUUUGCUUCCCAAGAACAGAAUGGUGAACCCUAAGGUUUCCCUGCAUGAUGCUGCUGCUGCUGUUUACUGUGAGGCAGCAUUUACUGAAGUGGAAAGAGCGGCUUCUGAAUCUGAUCAAACAAGCAAUGGUGAUGUUGAAGACUUUUAUUAUGAGGAUAUGGAUAUUUCAACCAGCACUGAUUAUGAGGAUAUGGAUAUUUCAACCAGCAUUGAUUAUGAGGAUAUGGAUAUUUCAACUAGCACUGAUUAUGAUUCGGUGACCAUAGCGGAUUAUUCUUAUCCAACACAGCAGCAAACUGACGAUUCGCUUCCUCCCUUUAAUACUUGGCAAACAAAGCAUUUUUGUUCAUCUCCUGUUGAUUUGGGAAAUCUCUGGGACAGGUCAACAUCGACUACAGAGAAUCCGUUAACAUCAUUUCUUCCACAUCCACAAAAACAAGCAGCUGCAGUUUGGCCAGGUAGGAGAGGAGACAUUAAAGUGAAGGCGUUAGUGGCAGCUAAGGCUGCAAAAAUACGCCAAGAAAAACAGGAGAAUGAGAGGAACUGGAAGAAAGAAGCAUUUCGGAUGGAGAUAGCGAGGCGCAAAAAAAGAAAAAAGCAGAAAGAAGGGAAGGAAAAAAAAAGCAGGAGGAAAUGGUUCCUAGAGGCCUGAACAUCCACAAAAAGAAAACCAUGUAAUGGUCAAUUUUGGAUUUUUUUUUUUUUUUUUUAAUUUGUGAUGAAAUGGCUUGGCCUCCUUUGCAGCAAGUUGGCAGAUGGUUAUAUAAUUUGGCUAUAAGGUCCUUGAAAGUAGUUUAUUAGGAAAAACAUUUGAUCCUAGACUUUGUAGAACAUACAACAAUAGAAAACUAGGAUUUUGUAUACUCAUGCUCCAAUGAAGCAGAAUGUCACAGCAAUUCGGCUCAAUGGAGUAUUAGUUGUUUGAUAAUAGAUGCUGCUGCAUUGCAUGCAUGUCGUUCAGAGUUUAAUAAAGAGGUAAAUGUAGAAAUUUCAUCUAUUAAAUCACUAUGUUUUAGUUCCUUAAACUUAAAUACCAAGUAAUCGUCGUCGAGGGAAUUGAAUUGAGGUAAAGGAAGGAUGACAAGAAUUCUGCUCCAGUCCUGUUGAAGAUGUUACAUACAUACAUCCACAAAAACAAAACCACAUACAUAUAUUAGCAGAAAAGAGUGGGGGAUUUUGAGCAACAGUUAAAUAAUCAUAUUCUGUUGUUACUUGUUACUCCUAAAGUAGGACUCUUCCAACUAACAAGCCAAGCCAAGCCAAGCCAAGCCAAGCCAGUUGUUGACUAUCAAACGACUGACUGUGUUGAAGUUGAAGAGAACAGGGACAUUUGGCAUAUAUAAUGAAGCAAGUAUUAUUAUGUUGGAAGCUCAAAGCUCAAAGCUCAUCUCAUGAGUUGACCAUGAGUCAAAAUUAAGUAUGGAUUACCUGUUAUGAAAAGGUGUGUUAUAAAAAGUAAAUUAAUGGGAACAGCUUGCUUAUCCAUCUUUUGUACAAGCCAAUUUCGAUCUCUAACAUGGAAUGUGGAAGGAAGGUUUGUCAUAGUACAAUGCUGCCUAUAAUGAUGUUUUAUCAUCUCAUUCUCAUCUGAGGACCCCAACCGGAUUAAGCAACCUCCGGGCCCGUUUGUCCACCUGGCUGAUCACUCCUCCCGUAUGGACACUAGGCCAUGAAAGCUGCAUAAAAAAAGGUCACGUGUCAUUUCUUAUCAUCUGUAUGUUAUAUGCUGCUGCUUUGAUAAUAUGAAAAGGGUUAGGCUAGGCUUAAAUUGUUAAAAUAUGUUUCUUAGUCGGUAGGAAAAAAGAUUACCAUUUUGCCCUUGCAAGUUUCAAACUAACUGGCAUUGAGAGUUUUGUUUUUUUUACAAUCACUUCUAAUUACCAUUAUGCCCUUGCAAGUUUCAGCUGCCAAGAAAACUAAAUGGCACCGAGUUUUUUGUUUUCCUUCAAUAUUUAGCUUGCAGUUAAUUUUUUUCUAUAUAAUUUUGAUUUUUUGUUGCAGUAGCAGUGUACAAACAUGGAAGAAGAAGAAGAAGAAGAAGAAGGAGGAGGAGGGGAGGUCUAGGGUUGGAUUCAAAUGAAAAAUUGUGUUUCUUAUGCCCUUGACAUACAUAGAGUUAUCAAAGGAGAUAAAUCAUAAAUGAAUGAAUCUUUCAAGGAAUUAUCUCUCAAGUUUUGACAAAACUACCUUCCAGAAUCUAAUCUAGAUAAGUGUCCAUGUCCUAGAAACUAAGUUGGGUAUGGUAUAUUUAGUAGUUUUUAAAAUUUUAAUCUGACUCUUUAACAUUUGAUUUUGUUGUUUCAGGACAUACAUAGAGUUAUCAAAGGAGAUAAUUGAAUGAAUCUUUCAAAAAAUCAUCUCAGAUGUUUUGACAAAACUAUUUUCCAGAAUCUAAUCUAGAUAAGUGUCCGUGUCCAUGUCCUAGAAACUAAGUUGGGUAUGGUAUAUCUAAUAAUUUUUAAAAAUUUAAUCUGACUCAGAAACAUUUGAUUUCGUUGUUUCAGGACAUACAUAGAGGAGUUAUCACUGGAGAUAAAUCAUAAAUGAAUGAAUCUUUGAAGAAAUUGACAAAACUACCUUCCAGGGUCUAAUCUAGAUAAGUGUCCAUGUCCAUGUCCUAGCAAAAAUAGCAACUAAUAAUUUUGUUAAAUUUUAAUCUGAUGCUUAAAUUGUUAUUUGAAUGUAGGUAUUGUUGUUCUAUUAAUAGAAUAGAGGUCCGCCUUCCCCUUCCACAUGAAUUCAACGAUAGACACUCAAGGGAAAAAUGUAAUGAGUGCUUCAUCUUCUUGGGUGCCUAAGAAUGAGCUUCUACAGAUUUAAAUAUUCAUUGAUAGUAAUAUGGGAGAAUAAGACCAAAAGACCAAACCCGAUGUUUCUAUUAAGUUCCUAAAGAACAUGUACAGAGGAGGAAAAUGACUCAAAUCGAUGUUUGCUUUGGUUAUACACCAAGUCAAGCUACCAUUUUAUAUAAUCUAAAUUAAAUUGAUUUAGACUUUAUUUUUUUUAGAGGACUUACUAUUGUUUUGCGGAGAUGGAAGGAGUGUUUGAGAGUAAACAAACUACACAUUCAUGGGAUUUCAUUGGUCUUGGAGAAGAAAAAACCAAACCUGCGGAAUUUUCCACAAAGGAGCAAGAUUUUAUGAUGGGAAAGUUUUAGCAAUUCCGACAUGCCACCCCACCGGAAUGGAAAGGAAUAUGGAAACAUUCAACGCCACAAAUUGCAACAGCUUUUCUUCAAUCAGUUCCAUAUGGGUUUUCUUUAGCUUUUAAGUGGAUAAUCCAAUCCCUAAAUGAAUGUUUUUGUUAAAAUUCAUUUGAUUUAUUUUUAAUAUAAUUAAAAAUGAUGCAGAAAGUGGAACAUUUGAGAGCAAAGAAAAAGUUAUUGCUAUGGUAAUUAAUUAUUAAAGUGGAUAAUCCAAUCCCUAAAAAUUGAACUUUCUUCAUGUGCUUCCCUCGAGGUUAAAAUCCCCCACUUCAACAUCUAGUGUGUGUGUGUGUGUGUGUGUUUAAAACUUGAUAGUAAUCCACUUAGACAGGUAAAUUAGACUUUUUAAAGGGAUAAUAUUGGUCAUUUUUCGUAUGUUAUCUCAUUCUCCUUCAUUUUGUAGAUUCCAUCAGAUGGGUUUGAAGCUCUACUAAAUGGUGUCUGUCUGUGUCUGUGCCUCUGUGGUUACACCACACCACACCACACCAAUAUUGCAUUGCAGAGUUAUCAAAUGAAUCGAUCUUUCAAAAAAUCAUCUCAAGUUUUGACAAAACUACCUUCCAGAAUCUAAUCUAGAUAAGUGUCCAUGUCCUAUCAACUAAGUUGGGUAUGGUAUGUUUAAUCAUUUUUAAGAUUUUAAUCUGACUCCAAACAUUUGAUUUGAUUUAAUUGUUAAUUGAAUGUAGGUAUUGUUCCACUAAUACAGCCCUUCCACUUGAAUUAUCGGUGAGUUCCUAAUUUCAAUCAGUUUUUAAUGUUUGUGGAUCAAAUGAUCAAUUGAGUUGAGGGGUACUCUUGACCUGUUUUUUUUUUUUUUUAAAUAUAUAUAUGCAAGAACUGAAUUGUUAUGAUAAUAGAAUAUGUUUGUCAAUUAAUUUAAAAGAAAUAAUAGAAAAAGACAAUAUUGACUCAUGUGGUUGAUUUUAGAUUUCUACUUUUAAUAAGUGUAUGAUAUGAACCUCACAUGGCAUGUAUGUAUUCUUCAUUCUUUUUCAGUAAAUAAGAAAGAAGGCUCCUGUUAUGAACUGGAUUCUAAGAACAGAUUCAAUAACAUAAAAAGCAACCAACAGCUUCAAAUAUUGAUUGAUUACAAGAACAAAUGAUAGGUUAGCUGAUUUGAGAUACCUACUCUCCCAAGGAAUAAAUUCCGGAUUUCACAAAAAGAUUGAUCCCUCACUGACCUCUUAUACUUACUAUCUGACCUAACAAACUAAAUAAUAUAAAAUACCUAAGUUGCCCCUGAACUAAUAAGAUUCUCUUUAUUUUAUUGAAUUUCCCAUAUUGCCCUUAUCUAGCAAGUGUGACAUAAGUUGAUGCAUAACAAUUGUUAUGAUCCCACAUUGGCCGAAAGUACUAUAAGUCUAAGUGUCCCCUCCUCCUACAAGCUGGCUUUUGGGAGUGAGUUCUACACUUGGGCUUAUGACAUGAUACGGGCCUAGUAUGGGGAUGGGUCCGUAUCAGCUCCACUCAUCGUUUGUGUUUCAAGCUUACAACAAGAUCUCUGUUGAAGCAAGCUGAUGUAUCUCCGUUCUUUCCCUCUCUACAUCAACAAUAUGAAGGGCUCUCCUUUGUGUACACCAAUAUUGCAUUGCAGGUACAUUCAAGACAAAACUGCAAAAAUGCUCCCUAUCUUUAUGUUUGUCCAAACUCAAAAGACAAUUAUUAUUUAAUUUAGAAAAGGGGCACACACACGAACCAAAAAAUAACAGCACCCACCAUUACCAAUA